AGGCGAAACCGGGGCAAAAUCCCCGGUCCGCCCGGUUUGGCAACCGGGUGCUGAUGAGCCUGCCGACG
rnacentral:hammerhead_ribozyme from 1 species